UGGGGAAUAUUGGACAAUGGGCGCAAGCCUGAUCCAGCAAUGCCGCGUGUGCGAUGAAGGCCUGCGGGUUGUAAAGCACUUUCGGUGGGGAAGAAAUUCCCAAAGCUAAUAUCUUUGGGAGCUGACGUUACCCACAGAAGAAGCACCGGCUAACCCUGUGCCAGCAGCCGCGGUAAUACAGGGGGUGCAAGCGUUAAUCGGAGUUACUGGGCGUAAAGGGCGCGUAGGCGGAUAUUUAAGUCGGAUGUGAAAUCCCUGGGCUUAACCUAGGAAUUGCAUUCGAUACUAUUUAUCUAGAGUAUGGUAGAGGAAAGUGGAAUUCUCGGUGUAGUGGUAAAAUACGUAGAUAUCGAGAAGAACACCAGUGGCGAAGGCGACUUUCUGGACCAAUACUGACGCUGAGGCGCGAAAGCGUGGGGAGCAAACAGG
rnacentral:rRNA from 1 species